rnacentral:rRNA from 1 species
UACGUAGGGUCCGAGCGUUGUCCGGAAUUACUGGGCGUAAAGAGCUCGUAGGUGGUUUGUCGCGUUGUCCGUGAAAACUCACAGCUCAACUGUGGGCGUGCGGGCGAUACGGGCAGACUGGAGUACUGCAGGGGAGACUGGAGUUCCUGGUGUAGCGGUGGAAUGCGCAGAUAUCAGGAGGAACACCGGUGGCGAAGGCGGGUCUCUGGGCAGUAACUGACGCUGAGGAGCGAAAGCGUGGGGAGCGAACAGG